CGCGGAGUAGAGCAGCUUGGUAGCUCAUCAGUCUCAUAAUCUGAGGGUCGUUGGUUCAAAUCCAACCUCCGCAACCA
rnacentral:tRNA from 1 species